ensembl:lncRNA
AGAGAAGCUGCUUCAAGCCGAGGGUAUCCACACGCCUUCACGUCAGCAGUGCCUGGGAAAGCUGGUGGUGCCAUUUGGACAAUAUGAACAUGCACCAUUUCGGUGGCUCGUUGCAAACGACGUGGGAUAUAUGAAGUAGUGAGUGUAUCAUAUAUUUAAUACCAUACUAUAGGCAGGUUUACUGAACUUCCAUUUACUGCACAUUUCCCCGUGUAAGGCUAUUAUCAGUAUAUCUUGUUCGUUGUAAACUUUCUUUAAGUGUGUAAUAUUCACGGAGAUAUUGCUGACAGUAUGUAUGAUUCCAGCAUACUUGACAGGCACAGAACAGAGGUGACAAAUCCACAAAGAAAGGGAGAGAUGGGGAACCAGUGGGUGAAGGAUUACCUCACAGAAUAUGCAGAAAGCUUCCCUCAAGUCUCCGUAGUCCUCGAGGCCAACAUUGACAGGUGCAUCUAUGGUCAGAAAGGGUUUGAAGAUCACACCUUUCAAGAGAUGUGGGAAUUAUAUUGUCAGUACAGCAGCCAAAAGGACAGACCUGAGAAGUUCAGUGAUGAGCAGAGGGAGGUCAUUCAGAGGCACACAGUUCUGUGAAGAGGUGGUUGAACACACCAGGGACGCACAUCACAAGCACCCAAAUGAAGAGGUUCAGAAAAUAUAUAUAUGACAAGGAACAAGUAAGUGCUAUGGAGGAGAACAGCAGAACAGGGCAGUAAAUGACUUAGUUAAAGAUAGUGAUAUGUGAUUAAUCUUGGCAAAGUGUGGAUGUGCAUUUUUUCCGUCAAUCGCAGUACUCACGAUAAACUGUAUUGUUUAGCAACAGCUGACAAGUACCCCCAGGUGUGAUCCUUCAUUGUGGCCAAGUGAUGAUGCUGAACUGAUAGCUGCAUCCCAGUCUGUGGAAGAUUCACUGAAGUCCCAACACUCCUUGUCUGCAAGUCAACCUUUAAAGCAACGGCUGACAAGCAGAGGUGUUUCCUCCUCCCAGACGUCUGGAACAUAGGAGAACUCAGCUCCCCUGUCCAAGGAGUUUGAGAACACUGUGGUGAAAAAGCUGUCUGGGGAAGGUCAAGGCUCAGCAGAAUGGCUCACCAGUAUCGGAAAUGAGCACUCACAAAUAGUUACAUUUGUGCUGACCUGCGAGGAGUCCUUUGCAAGCUGCAGCCAAUGUGCCGUGGAGUCAUGGAGAGGUUUCACUUGGCCAAUCAGCCUGUUCCCAAAAUUUUGUAUGUGGACCGUGGGUGUUGCCGUGCACAGGGACCAUCAGUAGUAGAGGCCUUGUUUCAGCCUUGGGUGGACAGUGGGAUGCUUGUGCGUCUGGACAUCUUUCACUGGAUCCACCGGUUUGAUGCAGCCAUCCUUACAGUCUCAUGCAAAGUACUCUGCAUUUAAGUCUGCAGUAGCUGGGGUGGUGCUGGCUUACCACCGCACAGACCUUGAGCUGCUUAUAAGGGCCGUCAGAGCAAAGAACCCAGUAAAAAUGCAGUCUGUGUCCGACGAGGAAGUUGUCCGCCUUUACAUUUCCAGGGAGCAGUUAAAACACCAUGUGCGCAGGGUCACACUUGGGGCUCAGGAAACGUUUCGGCUCAUCCAAUUGGUUAUCGAGGAGCUGAAAGGUCCAGCUGGGCUGGAUGAGA